AUGCAAGUCGAGCGAACAGAUAAGGAGCUUGCUCCUUUGACGUUAGCGGCGGACGGGUGAGUAACACGUGGGUAACCUACCUAUAAGACUGGGAUAACUUCGGGAAACCGGAGCUAAUACCGGAUAACAUUUGGAACCGCAUGGUUCUAAAGUGAAAGAUGGUUUUGCUAUCACUUAUAGAUGGACCCGCGCCGUAUUAGCUAGUUGGUAAGGUAACGGCUUACCAAGGCAACGAUACGUAGCCGACCUGAGAGGGUGAUCGGCCACACUGGAACUGAGACACGGUCCAGACUCCUACGGGAGGCAGCAGUAGGGAAUCUUCCGCAAUGGGCGAAAGCCUGACGGAGCAACGCCGCGUGAGUGAUGAAGGGUUUCGGCUCGUAAAACUCUGUUAUUAGGGAAGAACAAACGUGUAAGUAACUGUGCACGUCUUGACGGUACCUAAUCAGAAAGCCACGGCUAACUACGUGCCAGCAGCCGCGGUAAUACGUAGGUGGCAAGCGUUAUCCGGAAUUAUUGGGCGUAAAGCGCGCGUAGGCGGUUUCUUAAGUCUGAUGUGAAAGCCCACGGCUCAACCGUGGAGGGUCAUUGGAAACUGGGAAACUUGAGUGCAGAAGAGGAAAGUGGAAUUCCAUGUGUAGCGGUGAAAUGCGCAGAGAUAUGGAGGAACACCAGUGGCGAAGGCGACUUUCUGGUCUGUAACUGACGCUGAUGUGCGAAAGCGUGGGGAUCAAACAGGAUUAGAUACCCUGGUAGUCCACGCCGUAAACGAUGAGUGCUAAGUGUUAGGGGGUUUCCGCCCCUUAGUGCUGCAGCUAACGCAUUAAGCACUCCGCCUGGGGAGUACGACCGCAAGGUUGAAACUCAAAGGAAUUGACGGGGACCCGCACAAGCGGUGGAGCAUGUGGUUUAAUUCGAAGCAACGCGAAGAACCUUACCAAAUCUUGACAUCCUUUGAAAACUCUAGAGAUAGAGCCUUCCCCUUCGGGGGACAAAGUGACAGGUGGUGCAUGGUUGUCGUCAGCUCGUGUCGUGAGAUGUUGGGUUAAGUCCCGCAACGAGCGCAACCCUUAAGCUUAGUUGCCAUCAUUAAGUUGGGCACUCUAGGUUGACUGCCGGUGACAAACCGGAGGAAGGUGGGGAUGACGUCAAAUCAUCAUGCCCCUUAUGAUUUGGGCUACACACGUGCUACAAUGGACAAUACAAAGGGCAGCUAAACCGCGAGGUCAUGCAAAUCCCAUAAAGUUGUUCUCAGUUCGGAUUGUAGUCUGCAACUCGACUACAUGAAGCUGGAAUCGCUAGUAAUCGUAGAUCAGCAUGCUACGGUGAAUACGUUCCCGGGUCUUGUACACACCGCCCGUCACACCACGAGAGUUUGUAACACCCGAAGCCGGUGGAGUAACCAUUUAUGGAGCUAGCCGUCGAAGGUG
rnacentral:rRNA from 1 species